rnacentral:rRNA from 1 species
UGAAACCGUUUAGGGGUAAACCUGAGAAACCCGAAAGGUCGAAGGGAGAAAUUCAUUCGCGUUUCGAGACAGGCGUCGAACGGGAUCGUUGACGGAAGACGUUUCGACGUUUUCCGCUCGUCCCGUUCGACGAUCCGGUUUCGAACGCGUGCACUUUUCUCCUGGUAGGACGUCGCGAUCCGUUGGGUGUCGGUCUACGGUUUCGGGUGGAGCCCGUCCGUUACACGUGUUUAACGGGCGGACCUCGGAUACCCGACCGACUCGCUCGACGGUAUAAGAAUGGUUCGAGGCCGCUCUCGGAGCGUCCGAUUCGCGGCAAGCCCGUCAGUUCGUGUUGGCGAUCGGACCUGGUGCCGAUUCCGACCGCUGUCGACUGUUGGCCGCGUUUCUCUCGGACAGACCUCUCGUAACCGAUCUGCGACGCUAUAGCUUUGGGUACUUUCAGGACCCGUCUUGAAACACGGACCAAGGAGUCUAGCAUGUGCGCGAGUCAUUGGGAAUCACUAAACCUAAAGGCGCAAUGAAAGUAAAGGUCUUCCUUGCGGAGACCGAGGGAAGACGGGCGUGUAUCGGCCUUAAAACCGACCGUUCUGCAUUCCCGGGGCGUCUCGUUCUCAUCGCGAGAUGAGGCGCACCAAGAGCGUACACGCUGGGACCCGAAAGAUGGUGAACUAUGCCUGGUCAGGACGAA